AGAUACCUACACCACCAUCAAGUCAAGAUGAUAUGGAAGAAGAGACAUAAAACAAAAAAUGUAAUCUCAUGUGAUUGAUCUACUAGUCGUGGAAGUUGAUAAAGCGGUUGAUUGAAAAAGGAAAUGCGUCAUAGCUAAUAGCUAUUGUUUGAGAACCAAUCAUAGGAUGAUAAAUAUGAAGUGUUUUCAUUAUAAAUUUUGUGAGUAAAAUAUUUUAGCAAUCUUUACUCAAAAAGUUUACUCACAAGUUUUACUUUAAUUUUUAUGCUAAAUAUUUUGUAAACGUGAUUUUUCUUUAAGUGUAUUUUGAUUUUUUCGAUUUUCAUUUUUUCUCAUGAUUGCCAUCAUUAUAAAUUUCAUUAUAAAUUUUGUGAGUAAAAUAUUUUAGCAAUCUUUACUCUAGAAGUUUUCUCACAAGUUUUACUUUAAUUUUUAUGAUAAAUAUUUUGUUAACGUGAGUUUUCUUUAAGUGUUUUUUUUAUCAAACUUGUGAAUAAUUAGGGUUGAUGGUAAUACAAAACAGUUUGAUAGAGCUUCAUUUUUCACUAUUUUUGGUUUUAUAGAGGGUGAAAAUCAAGUCGUCCUGAGCCUAUCGAAAAUGAAUCGCUGCGAAUCGGUUGAAGAAUGAUAUAAAUUGCUUUGGUAAAGCUUGAUUUUUUACCAUUUUUAGCGUUUUGGUUUUAGAGCCCCAAGUCCUAUACUACUGGCGUUUGAAGGAAAUACUGACAACAGGGAGAAUGGCGGACCUAUUUACACACAUAAAGGCGGUGAAAAUGUAUUCUUUACAACCCUCAUAACCUCCAUACAGGACAUUUUAAUCCAUAUCUUUAGAAGGAGAGUAAGUGACCGUUUUGAAUAAGAGAGAGCGAGAUCUGUCUUUGAAUCAUUGAGUUUUUUUGGUCCUCGGGACGACUUUGGUCAAAUAUUGAGGUCAAAUCCUAAGGUCACACAGUUCUAGGAAAAAAGAAUGAAGAAAGCAGUGACAGUCAAUAUACAGAUUGGAACAAUAUGAAGAUUCAAGAAGCUUCCCAGAGGUUGUCGUUCACACUGUUGUCAUCAGUCAAGCAGUGGUC